GACGAACGCUGGCGGCGUGCUUAACACAUGCAAGUCGAACGAGUGGCGAACGGGUGAGUAAUACGUGAGUAACCUGCCCUCUUUUUGGGAUAAGCCUUGGAAACGGGGUCUAAUACCGGAUAAAGGGGGAUGGGCUCGCGGCCUAUCAGCUUGUUGGUGGGUUGAUGGCCUACCAAGGCGGCGACGGGUAGCCGGCCUGAUAGGGUGACCGGCAACUGUGAGACGGAGAAACGGCCCAGGCUCGUACGUGAGGGAGAAGUGGGGGAUAUUGCACAAUGGGCGAAAGCGUGAUGCAGCGACGGUGCGGGGGGGAUGAAGGCUUUCAGGUUGUAAACCUCUUUCGGUAUCGAAGGGUAGGUGGUGAAGAAGCGCCGGCUAACUACGUGCCAGCAGCCGCGGUAAUUC
rnacentral:rRNA from 1 species